CGAACGCUGGCGGCAGGCCUAACACAUGCAAGUCGAACGAAGUCUUCGGACUUAGUGGCGCACGGGUGAGUAACACGUGGGAAUAUACCUUACGCUGGGGGAUAACAUCGGGAAACUGAUGCUAAUACCGCAUACGCCCUUCGGGGGAAAGAUUUAUCGGCGAAAGAUUAGCCCGCGUCCGAUUAGCUAGUUGGUGAGGUAAUGGCUCACCAAGGCUCCGAUCGGUAGCUGGUCUGAGAGGAUGACCAGCCACACUGGGACUGAGACACGGCCCAGACUCCUACGGGAGGCAGCAGUGGGGGAUAUUGGACAAUGGGCGCAAGCCUGAUCCAGCCAUGCCGCGUGAGUGAUGAAGGCCUUAGGGUUGUAAAGCUCUUUCACCCACGACGAUGAUGACGGUAGUGGGAGAAGAAGCCCCGGCUAACUUCGUG
rnacentral:rRNA from 1 species